UACGUAGGUGGCGAGCGUUGUCCGGAUUUACUGGGUGUAAAGGGCGUGUAGGCGGGUACGCAAGUUGGGUGUGAAAUACCGGGGCUUAACCCCGGGGCUGCAUCCAAAACUGCGAAUCUUGAGUGCCGGAGAGGAAAGCGGAAUUCCUAGUGUAGCGGUGAAAUGCGUAGAUAUUAGGAGGAACACCGGUGGCGAAGGCGGCUUUCUGGACGGUAACUGACGCUGAGGCGCGAAAGCGUGGGGAGCAAAC
rnacentral:rRNA from 1 species